UACGAGGGGGGCGAGCGUUGUUCGGAAUUAUUGGGCGUAAAGGGUGCGUAGGCGGUUUGGUAAGUCUUGUGUGAAAUCUCCAGGCUCAACUUGGAGUCUGCACGAGAAACUGCCGGGCUUGAGUGUGGGAGAGGUGAGUGGAAUUCCCGGUGUAGCGGUGAAAUGCGUAGAUAUCGGGAGGAACAUCAGUGGCGAAGGCGGCCAUCUGGGACAACACUGACGCUGAGGCACGAAAGCGUGGGGAGCAAACAGG
rnacentral:rRNA from 1 species